CUAGAAUGAUCUCCAUUGGGCGGAAAAGACACGGACCAUCCCUGAGAAGCACAGUCGCGAAUCUGGGACCAGAAAGAGGUACCGGGGCUCUGGAUGCCAGAAACCCCAGUGCGCAGGAUUACUCAGAUGUUGGAGAGGUUUCCUUAACCCACGCUGGCAAUGCCUCAGGAUGUUUUCCAGGAGGUCACAUAAGAGCCACAUGCCACAGAUGGAGGACAAGCUGAAUGAGAGCCCCUGCUCUACUUCCCUGAAGGAAAGAAGGAAGCCCCAUGCCAUCAGCACGAAGCCCCGCUGGCUCAGGGGUAUGAACAUCUCACCCAUGCCCGACAAUGAGAACCGUGAGGAAGGGACCAUGGAAG